rnacentral:tRNA from 1 species
GGUCAGGUAGCUCAGGUGGUAGAGCAGGGGACUGAAAAUCCCCGUGUCGGGGGUUCGACUCCCUCCCUGACCACAA